rnacentral:rRNA from 1 species
UACGUAGGGUGCAAGCGUUGUCCGGAAUUAUUGGGCGUAAAGAGCUCGUAGGCGGCUUGUCGCGUCGGAUGUGAAAGCCCGGGGCUUAACCUCCGGGUCUGCAUUCGAUACGGGCAGGCUAGAGUUCGGUGAGGGGAGAUCGGAAUUCCUGGUGGUGAGCGGUGAAAUGACGCAGAUAUCAGGAGGAACACCGGUGGCGAAGGCGGCACGUCUGGGACGGUACUGACGCUGAGACGCGAAAGCGUGGGGAGC